rnacentral:rRNA from 1 species
CCUACGGGUGGCAGCAGUGAGGAAUAUUGGUCAAUGGACGAGAGUCUGAACCAGCCAAGUAGCGUGAAGGAUGACUGCCCUAUGGGUUGUAAACUUCUUUUAUAUGGGAAUAAAAUGAUCCACGUGUGGGAUUUUGUAUGUACCAUAUGAAUAAGGAUCGGCUAACUCCGUGCCAGCAGCCGCGGUAAUACGGAGGAUCCGAGCGUUAUCCGGAUUUAUUGGGUUUAAAGGGAGCGUAGGUGGAUUGUUAAGUCAGUUGUGAAAGUUUGCGGCUCAACCGUAAAAUUGCAGUUGAAACUGGCAGUCUUGAGUACAGUAGAGGUGGGCGGAAUUCGUGGUGUAGCGGUGAAAUGCUUAGAUAUCACGAAGAACUCCGAUUGCGAAGGCAGUUCACUGGACUGCAACUGACACUGAGGCUCGAAAGUGUGGGUAUCAAACAGGAUUAGAUACCCUUGUAGUC